rnacentral:rRNA from 1 species
UACGUAGGGUGCGAGCGUUAAUCGGAAUUACUGGGCGUAAAGUGUGCGCAGGCGGUCGAGCAAGUCGAGUGUGAAAGCCCCGAGCUUAACUUGGGAACUGCGCUCGAAACUACUUGGCUAGAGUGUGGCAGAGGGAGGUGGAAUUCCACGUGUAGCGGUGAAAUGCGUAGAGAUGUGGAGGAACACCGAUGGCGAAGGCAGCCUCCUGGGCCAACACUGACGCUCAUGCACGAAAGCCGUGGGGAGCAAA